rnacentral:rRNA from 1 species
AAUAUCAAAGGUGAGCCAGUACAGGAUGGACCCGCGUCUGAUUAGCUAGUUGGUAAGGUAACGGCUUACCAAGGCGACGAUCAGUAGCCGACCUGAGAGGGAGAUCGGCCACAUUGGAACUGAGACACGGUCCAAACUCCUACGGGAGGCAGCAGAGGGGAAUAUUGCACAAUGGGCGAAAGCCUGAUGCAGCAACGCCGCGUGAGUGAUGAAGGCCUUCGGG